AACGAACGCUGGCGGCAGGCUUAACACAUGCAAGUCGAACGGGCCCUUCGGGGUCAGUGGCAGACGGGUGAGUAACGCGUGGGAACGUGCCCUUCAGUUUGGGAUAACCCAGGGAAACUUGGGCUAAUACCGGAUACGUGCGAGAGCAGAAAGAUUUAUCGCUGAAGGAUCGGCCCGCGUCUGAUUAGCUGGUUGGUAGGGUAAUGGCCUACCAAGGCGACGAUCAGUAGCUGGUCUGAGAGGAUGAUCAGCCACAUUGGGACUGAGACACGGCCCAAACUCCUGCGGGAGGCAGCAGUGGGGAAUAUUGGACAAUGGGCGCAAGCUUGAUCCAGCCAUGCCGCGUGAGUGAUGAAGGCCUUAGGGUUGUAAAGCUCUUUCAGUGGGGACGAUAAUGACGGUACCCGCAGAAGAAGCCCCGGCUAACUUCGUGCCAGCCGCCGCGGUAA
rnacentral:rRNA from 1 species